AGAGUUUGAUCCUGGCUCAGAUUGAACGCUGGCGGCAGGCCUAACACAUGCAAGUCGAGCGGAUGAAAGGAGCUUGCUCCUGGAUUCAGCGGCGGACGGGUGAGUAAUGCCUAGGAAUCUGCCUGGUAGUGGGGGACAACGUUUCGAAAGGAACGCUAAUACCGCAUACGUCCUACGGGAGAAAGCAGGGGACCUUCGGGCCUUGCGCUAUCAGAUGAGCCUAGGUCGGAUUAGCUAGUUGGUGAGGUAAUGGCUCACCAAGGCGACGAUCCGUAACUGGUCUGAGAGGAUGAUCAGUCACACUGGAACUGAGACACGGUCCAGACUCCUACGGGAGGCAGCAGUGGGGAAUAUUGGACAAUGGGCGAAAGCCUGAUCCASCCAUGCCGCGUGUGUGAAGAAGGUCUUCGGAUUGUAAAGCACUUUAAGUUGGGAGGAAGGGUUGUAGAUUAAUACUCUGCAAUUUUGACGUUACCGACAGAAUAAGCACCGGCUAACUCUGUGCCAGCAGCCGCGGUAAUAC
rnacentral:rRNA from 1 species